GACGAACGCUGGCGGCGUGCUUAACACAUGCAAGUCGAACGGAAAGGCCCUGCUUUUGUGGUGUGCUCGAUUGCCGAACGCGUGAGUAACACGUGUGUAACCUGCCCUUGUCUUUGGGAUAACUUCACGAAACUGGGGCUAAUAUCGGAUAGGAUCUCCUGCACCAUGGUGGGGGUUGGAAAGUUUCGGCGGUUGGGGAUGGACUCGCGGCUUAACAGCUUGUUGGUGGGGUAGUUGCUUACCAAGGCUUUGACGGGUAGCCCGCCUGAGAGGGUGAACGGCGACAAGGGGACUAAGAGACGGCGCAGUCGGCAACGGGAGGCAACAGGGGGGAGUCUGGCACAGUGAGCCGGAGUCUGAGACGGAAGCCUCCCGUGCGGAAAGACGGCCUUCGGGUUAAGAACAGCUUUCGCCUGAGACGAAGCGUGAGUGACGGUAAUGAAUAAAGAAGCACCGGCUAACUACGUG
rnacentral:rRNA from 1 species